GUAGGGGCGGCUAUACAUGCAAGUCGAGCGAACUGACGAGGAGCUUGCUCCUUUGACGUUAGCGGCGGACGGGUGAGUAACACGUGGGUAACCUACCUAUAAGACUGGAAUAACUCCGGGAAACCGGGGCUAAUGCCGGAUAACAUGUUGAACCGCAUGGUUCAACAGUGAAAGACGGUCUUGCUGUCACUUAUAGAUGGACCCGCGCCGUAUUAGCUAGUUGGUAAGGUAACGGCUUACCAAGGCGACGAUACGUAGCCGACCUGAGAGGGUGAUCGGCCACACUGGAACUGAGACACGGUCCAGACUCCUACGGGAGGCAGCAGUAGGGAAUCUUCCGCAAUGGGCGAAAGCCUGACGGAGCAACGCCGCGUGAGUGAUGAAGGUCUUCGGAUCGUAAAGCUCUGUUGUUAGGGAAGAACAUAUGUGUAAGUAACUGUGCACAUCUUGACGGUACCUAACCAGAAAGCCACGGCUAACUACGUGCCAGCAGCCGCGGUAAUACGUAGGUGGCAAGCGUUAUCCGGAAUUAUUGGGCGUAAAGCGCGCGUAGGCGGUUUUUUAAGUCUGAUGUGAAAGCCCACGGCUCAACCGUGGAGGGUCAUUGGAAACUGGAAAACUUGAGUGCAGAAGAGGAAAGUGGAAUUCCAUGUGUAGCGGUGAAAUGCGCAGAGAUAUGGAGGAACACCAGUGGCGAAGGCGGCUUUCUGGUCUGUAACUGACGCUGAGGUGCGAAAGCGUGGGGAUCAAACAGAAUUAGAUACCCCUGGUAGUCCACGCCCGUAAACGAUGAGUGGCUAAGUGUUAGGGGGGUUUCCGCCCCAUAGUGC
rnacentral:rRNA from 1 species